rnacentral:rRNA from 1 species
ACUGAAAAUCUUCGGAAUUGUAKUCUGGAGAAKUAUGGUCAGCCGAUGAUGAUGAGUGAAGUCUUCUGGAAAGGAGCGCCUUGGAGGGUGAUAGCCCCGUUCAUACUUAUCAUUARAAGCGUACGACCUGCUUUCUACGAGUCGUGUUGUUUGGGACUGCAGCACUAAGUGGGUGGUAAAUUCCAUCUAAAGCUAAAUAUUGGUGGGAGACCGAUAGCGAACAASUACCGUGAGGGAAAGAUGCAAAGAACUUUGAAAAGAGAGUUAAAUAGUACCUGAWAUUGCUGAARUGGAACCGAUGGGAAGCAGUGUCGGUGGCGGGUAUUUAUACCUGUCACAAGCCAKGCUUCUUUUCUAGUGCGGGAAAGGCUGAUAAACUAKUUUAKGUUAUCUACGCCGUCGUGCUGGCGAAGGACUCUGACGAAAUGCUUCUCAUCACCCCYGUCUUGAAACACGGACCAAGGAGUCUAACAUGUGUGCGAGUGCUCGGGGUCAACCCCCCAGCGCGAAAUAAACGUAAAGGGGAAUUUAUUCCCUUAGGUAGGAUCCUUAGGUGCACUAUCGACCGACCAUGAUCCUCCGGGAGAAAGGUUUGAGUGUGAGCAUACAUGUUGGGACCCGAAAGAUGGUGAACUAUGCUUGAGUAGGGCGAAGCCAGGGGAAACUCUGGUGGAGGUCCGCAGCGAUUCU